CCUACGGGGGGCUGCAGUGAGGAAUAUUGGUCAAUGGGCGAGAGCCUGAACCAGCCAAGUCGCGUGAGGGAAGACGGUCCUAUGGAUUGUAAACCUCUUUUGUCGGGGAGCAAAAAGCGGCACGCGUACCGUUCCGAGAGUACCCGGAGAAAAAGCAUCGGCUAACUCCGUGCCAGCAGCCGCGGUAAUACGGAGGAUGCGAGCGUUAUCCGGAUUUAUUGGGUUUAAAGGGUGCGCAGGCGGAGGGUUAAGUCAGCGGUAAAAUUUCGAGGCUCAACCCCGGCGAGCCGUUGAAACUGGUUUGCUAGAGUGGGCGAGAAGUAUGCGGAAUGCGUGGUGUAGCGGUGAAAUGCAUAGAUAUCACGCAGAACUCCGAUUGCGAAGGCAGCAUACCGGCGCCCAACUGACGCUCAGGCACGAAAGCGUGGGUAUCGAACAGGAUUAGAUACCCGGGUAGUC
rnacentral:rRNA from 1 species